rnacentral:rRNA from 1 species
UACGGAGGGUGCAAGCGUUAAUCGGAAUUACUGGGCGUAAAGCGUGCGCAGGCGGUUUUGUAAGUUUGUCGUGAAAUCCCCGGGCUCAACCUGGGAAUUGCGAUGAAGACUGCAAGGCUAGAAUCUGGCAGAGGGGGGUAGAAUUCCACGUGUAGCAGUGAAAUGCGUAGAGAUGUGGAGGAACACCGAUGGCGAAGGCAGCCCCCUGGGUCAAGAUUGACGCUCAUGCACGAAAGCGUGGGGAGCAAACAGG